rnacentral:rRNA from 1 species
CCUACGGGAGGCAGCAGUGGGGAAUAUUGCACAAUGGGCGCAAGCCUGAUGCAGCCAUGCCGCGUGUGUGAAGAAGGCCUUCGGGUUGUAAAGCACUUUCAGCGGGGAGGAAGGCGUUAAGGUUAAUAACCUUGUCGAUUGACGUUACCCGCAGAAGAAGCACCGGCUAACUCCGUGCCAGCAGCCGCGGUAAUACGGAGGGUGCAAGCGUUAAUCGGAAUUACUGGGCGUAAAGCGCACGCAGGCGGUCUGUCAAGUCGGAUGUGAAAUCCCCGGGCUCAACCUGGGAACUGCAUUCGAGACUGGCAGGCUAGAGUCUUGUAGAGGGGGGUAGAAUUCCAGGUGUAGCGGUGAAAUGCGUAGAGAUCUGGAGGAAUACCGGUGGCGAAGGCGGCCCCCUGGACAAAGACUGACGCUCAGGUGCGAAAGCGUGGGGAGCAAACAGGAUUAGAUACCCGAGUAGUC